CGGCCGCCGCGGCUCGAAGGCCGUGGGGACCCCAGGCCCCAGGGGAAAAGAAAGAGAAGAGAGAAGAGAGGGCGUCAGCGAGGGCCAGGGCGCGGGCGGCCGGCACAGAGAGAGAAACAACAGCCUCACACCCAAAUCGGUUCAAUUGGCUUUGGCGGAGACUACGCGGGCCGGGCCCGCCCGCCAGCCGGCCAGCGCCUGCGCUUUAAGCGGGCUGCGGCUCGGAUGCCCUGGGCACCCCACGCGCGGGCUCUGUGACUUUGGGUUUUGGUCUUUUUGUUUCGUCUUAAGAAACCAAACGGAACAGAAAGGAAAGGAAAUUGAAAAGAAACGGAAUUUUUUUUUCUACUGGUUUAAGGCUUUAAAAACAUACAACAGCAGCAUUUAAACAAACCUAACAACAAUAUCUUUUAGGGUUUUUUUUAUAUAUAUUUCUUUUUGCUUUUUUUUUUUUUUGCUUUUGUUUUUAAAAAAGAAGAUAGCAUACCACGGAAUUCAGGCAACUUACAUCAACAA
ensembl:antisense Gm14964 predicted gene 14964